CACCGAAGUUAAGCAUCAUCGGGCGCGGUUAGUACUUGGGAGGGUGACCACCUGGGAACACUGCGUGCCGUU